GACGAACGCUGGCGGCGUGCUUAACACAUGCAAGUCGAACGGAAAGGCCCUGCUUUUGUGGGGUGCUCGAGUGGCGAACGGGUGAGUAACACGUGAGUAACCUGCCCUUGACUUUGGGAUAACUUCAGGAAACUGGGGCUAAUACCGGAUAGGAGCUCCUGCUGCAUGGUGGGGGUUGGAAAGUUUCGGCGGUUGGGGAUGGAUUCGCGGCUUAUCAGCUUGUUGGUGGGGUAGUGGCUUACCAAGGCUUUGACGGGUAGCCGGCCUGAGAGGGUUAACGGCCACAUUGGGACUGAGAUACGGCCCAGACUCCUACGGGAGGCAGCAGUGGGGAAUAUUGCACAAUGGGCGGAAGCCUGAUGCAACAACGCCGCGUGCGGGAUGACGGCCUUCGGGUUGUAAACAGCUUUCGCCUGUGACGAAGAGUGAGUGACGGUAAUGGGUAAAGAAGCACCGGCUAACUACGUG
rnacentral:rRNA from 1 species